rnacentral:tRNA from 1 species
GUAAAUAUAGUUUAUAAAGAACAUCGGUCUUGUAAGUCGAAAGAAGGCUCUCGCCUUAUUUACU